rnacentral:lncRNA from 1 species
GCAUAUGGUGAUGGUAUGUUUUUGUUGACCGGAAUCCCGAUCCAUUGUUUAGGCCCGUAACCCUAUCUGGUGGUGGAAGAAGAUUGUCUUAGCUAUUCUUAUUCCUCAUUUGAUUGAAUAGAAGGUGGAAGAUGGCAAGCAGGGUUACCCUGUUUUGCUGGCAGAUGAUAUCCAAUUCCAGUUUUAAUCAUGCAAGUUUGUGUAUUUGUCCAGUUUGAUAUAUGGUGAUAUGAGUUUAGCUUGAACUACUUUGCUUCAUUCCAUAAAAAGACGGGGCCGAGGAGAAACCACCCCUUCAUUCAAAAAUAUGAGUUUAACUGCAUUGUCUCUUCUAAUCCCGUGUUUAUUCUCUGUUGGACCCAAAACGUAUAAAAUUUGGCACCACCUACAUUGUCUGUUCUUGUCCAGAGUCUUCGGACCUAUCAAUGUUUACUAUAUUGUGCUUAUCUGUUAUUGUGGAUUUGAUCUCGGAUUGACAACGAUCCUUAGAUUCGCAGUGAAUUUGUGUUUCUUACUUUCCACCGCGUUCUGAUUAGGGUUGACAACUAUACACCAAAUUAUCUUCGGGGUUGUGCAUUUCUAGUCCGAGGAUCUCCUCGUAUAUGGUGGUGGUAUGUUUUUGUGUACCAGAAUCCCGAUGUACUCUUAUUUAGGCCCGAAACCCUAUCUGGUGGAACAAGAAUGUCGAGGAUGGAAAGCAGGGUUACCCUGUUUUGCUGUCAGAUGAUAUCGGACAUAAGUUGAUAUGACUUUAUGUUUCCUAUUAGCUUGUUCCUGUUUGUUUGCAUUGCAUGAGGAAUCCAGAGAUGUGCAUGAAAAGGGGUGCAGUAGUUUACAUACGAUGGAAUAUUAGCUACAGAUUUUUAAUCUUGGCAGUGUAAUUAUAUUAUGAACGCUGCAGUGCUGCGUGAGAUACUGGAUAACUAGGUGCUAGGUCUCCUCUUGUUAUAGCAGCACAUAUUGUUGUUUUGAUGUUAACUUUGGAAUGUUUCGAUGGAAUUGCUGUGGCAUAGCUGUUUUCUUCUCCUGAACCUUUCUUAUUGCAUUAUUGCUUGCAGUUCUUGUUUCGGACGGGUUGCUAGUUUGUUUCCAGAACUGUGUGAUAACUGUCAUGAAACUGUAAAUAAUAUUAACUAACCAGGUGCUUGGUCUUCUCUUGUUAUAACACUUUGUUGUUGGAAUUGCUGUGGCAUAACUGUAGUAAAUAAAUCUAUUUCUGUACAAAUUGUGGAGUUCAUCUUAACUAACCAAUGUUUGGUUUUGUUUCCUUCUAUUCAGAGGUGUCUGUGGAGGAGAAGGAUUGGGAAGGCUACUACAGCCUGGAAGACAGCGAGGGCUAUCUUUUCCAGGAGUCAAGCGGGGGCUACUACUUCUUCGAGUGCUACAAAGGGGAAGGCUUCUAUUAUCAGAAUGAAGAGAGUGACUAUUUUCAUGCUGGACAGAGCUUGUAUGACAAGGAACAAGGCUCGCCCUUGGCAGUGGUGGCAUGGUGGGCGACGGUCUUGGCGCUGACCAUGGCCGCAAGGUGACUGCUCAUGUGGGCGACGGCCUCACUGCUGGCGUCCAGGUGCCUGUCAAGGUGGGCGAUGGCCUCACUGCUGGCGGCCAGGUGCCUGUCAAGGUGGGCGACGGCAGGCUUCCUAAUGUUGCCAGCUUCCUCAGGCGUUUCUCUAUCCACGCACCAAAGUAGUGACCUUGGGACCAUAAAGUGCCAGUCCUUUGAACUUUUGAGUGUAGUAAUUAGCUUCCAACCUCAUACUUUGAAACUGUUUAGUCGUAGCUUUUAGCGUUAUUUCUGCAUAUACCUGGUCUGCGAGAGAAAUGUUUUUCGUCAGACUUCAUGGCUGAAUGUCACUACGGUGAAUUCGAAUGGUGCAAGCAGUCUUUUGCAGAUUGCCUGAUUGAAGGAAAAGUUUUGCCACUCAUUUUAGAUUCUGAGUUUUAUCACUCCAUCUGUUUUGCAAGUUUAGAACUUUUUUAGGUGGAACUGGUCAAACUCGAUGAAGUUUGUACUGGGAGAAUCCAACUUCAAUUAUUUUGAAACGGAACGAGUAUUAUACCAAGCUCUGAUGGAGAAGAUGCCUUCUAGGAUGAGAUCCUAGGCAGAAACUAUUGCACAAAUCAAUCGCCAUAUAAAUAUGGCAGAGAACUAGAU